GCUGAGUAGCUGAGGCUGUCAAUGUUCCAAUUGGAAAUGCCUUCUCCAGACCCAGAGAAUUCGGAUAGCUUGACCCUAUGCCACGGAGCACCCAGGCACACAAAGACCAGAAUUGCCAAGGAAUGCCUGUGUUCUCUUCCGUAAGAAAACUUACUCUCAUGCCCAAGAGACCACCAGCCUUUCAGCCAGACGGAAAAUGCUUACCGUUUGCUACAUUUGUGUGCUGUUAAGAAGCUCCUUCCUGAGAGACUGGAGCCACAGCAUUCCCAUGCAAAGACAUCUGGGCAUUUGGGCAUGCCUCUACUCAGACUGGCAAUUACACUGCUCACUCUAGUGGGUUUAUCUACUUAACCGUCACCCUAAUGAAGCUGGAAAGAUGGCUCUGCAGUUCAGAGCUCACACCGCCCUUGCAGAGGAUCCAAGAUCAGUACCUGGCACCUACAUCUAGCAACUCACAACCACCUGGAACCCUAGCUCCAGGGGAUUGAACACCCUCUUCUGGCCUCAUGCGUACCUAAACUAACGUACACAUACCCACAUAAA